rnacentral:rRNA from 1 species
UGGGGAAUUUUGGACAAUGGGCGAAAGCCUGAUCCAGCAAUGCCGCGUGCAGGAUGAAGGCCUUCGGGUUGUAAACUGCUUUUGUACGGAACGAAACGGUCUUUUCUAAUACAAGAGGCUAAUGACGGUACCGUAAGAAUAAGCACCGGCUAACUACGUGCCAGCAGCCGCGGUAAUACGUAGGGUGCGAGCGUUAAUCGGAAUUACUGGGCGUAAAGCGUGCGCAGGCGGUUAUGUAAGACAGUUGUGAAAUCCCCGGGCUUAACCUGGGAAUUGCAUUUGUGACUGCAUAGCUAGAGUACGGUAGAGGGGGAUGGAAUUCCGCGUGUAGCAGUGAAAUGCGUAGAUAUGCGGAGGAACACCGAUGGCGAAGGCAAUCCCCUGGACCUGUACUGACGCUCAUGCACGAAAGCGUGGGGAGCAAACAG